UACAGAGGGUGCGAGCGUUAAUCGGAAUUACUGGGCGUAAAGCGCACGCAGGCGGCAGAGAAAGUCUGACGUGAAAUCCCCGGGCUCAACCCGGGAACUGCGUCCGAUACUGGAAGGCUUGAAUCCGGGAGAGGGAUGCGGAAUUCCAGGUGUAGCGGUGAAAUGCGUAGAUAUCUGGAGAAACACCGGUGGCGAAGGCGGCAUCCUGGACCGGCAUUGACGCUGAGGAGCGAAAGCCAGGGGAGCAAAGCGGG
rnacentral:rRNA from 1 species